UGGGGAAUAUUGCACAAUGGGGGAAACCCUGAUGCAGCAACGCCGCGUGGAGGAUGAAGGUCUUCGGAUUGUAAACUCCUGUCUUUUGGGACGAAAAAAAUGACGGUACCAAAGGAGGAAGCCACGGCUAACUACGUGCCAGCAGCCGCGGUAAUACGUAGGUGGCAAGCGUUGUCCGGAAUUAUUGGGCGUAAAGGGCGCGUAGGCGGCGUCUUAAGUCAGAUGUGAAAUCCCCGGGCUUAACUCGGGAAUAGCAUCUGAUACUGGGACGCUAGAGUGCAGGAGAGGUAAGUGGAAUUCCUAGUGUAGCGGUGAAAUGCGUAGAUAUUAGGAGGAACACCAGUGGCGAAGGCGACUUACUGGACUGUAACUGACGCUGAGGCGCGAAAGCGUGGGGAGCAAACAGG
rnacentral:rRNA from 2 species